AGUCGAACGAACUCUGGUAUUGAUUGGUGCUUGCAUCAUGAUUUACAUUUGAGUGAGUGGCGAACUGGUGAGUAACACGUGGGAAACCUGCCCAGAAGCGGGGGAUAACACCUGGAAACAGAUGCUAAUACCGCAUAACAACUUGGACCGCAUGGUCCGAGUUUGAAAGAUGGCUUCGGCUAUCACUUUUGGAUGGUCCCGCGGCGUAUUAGCUAGAUGGUGAGGUAACGGCUCACCAUGGCAAUGAUACGUAGCCGACCUGAGAGGGUAAUCGGCCACAUUGGGACUGAGACACGGCCCAAACUCCUACGGGAGGCAGCAGUAGGGAAUCUUCCACAAUGGACGAAAGUCUGAUGGAGCAACGCCGCGUGAGUGAAGAAGGGUUUCGGCUCGUAAAACUCUGUUGUUGAAGAAGAACAUAUCUGAGAGUAACUGUUCAGGUAUUGACGGUAUUUAACCAGAAAGCCACGGCUAACUACGUGCCAGCAGCCGCGGUAAUACGUAGGUGGCAAGCGUUGUCCGGAUUUAUUGGGCGUAAAGCGAGCGCAGGCGGUUUUUUAAGUCUGAUGUGAAAGCCUUCGGCUCAACCGAAGAAGUGCAUCGGAAACUGGGAAACUUGAGUGCAGAAGAGGACAGUGGAACUCCAUGUGUAGCGGUGAAAUGCGUAGAUAUAUGGAAGAACACCAGUGGCGAAGGCGGCUGUCUGGUCUGUAACUGACGCUGAGGCUCGAAAGUAUGGGUAGCAAACAGGAUUAGAUACCCUGGUAGUCCAUACCGUAAACGAUGAAUGCUAAGUGUUGGAGGGUUUCCGCCCUUCAGUGCUGCAGCUAACGCAUUAAGCAUUCCGCCUGGGGAGUACGGCCGCAAGGCUGAAACUCAAAGGAAUUGACGGGGGCCCGCACAAGCGGUGGAGCAUGUGGUUUAAUUCGAAGCUACGCGAAGAACCUUACCAGGUCUUGACAUACUAUGCAAAUCUAAGAGAUUAGACGUUCCCUUCGGGGACAUGGAUACAGGUGGUGCAUGGUUGUCGUCAGCUCGUGUCGUGAGAUGUUGGGUUAAGUCCCGCAACGAGCGCAACCCUUAUUAUCAGUUGCCAGCAUUAAGUUGGGCACUCUGGUGAGACUGCCGGUGACAAACCGGAGGAAGGUGGGGAUGACGUCAAAUCAUCAUGCCCCUUAUGACCUGGGCUACACACGUGCUACAAUGGAUGGUACAACGAGUUGCGAACUCGCGAGAGUAAGCUAAUCUCUUAAAGCCAUUCUCAGUUCGGAUUGUAGGCUGCAACUCGCCUACAUGAAGUCGGAAUCGCUAGUAAUCGCGGAUCAGCAUGCCGCGGUGAAUACGUUCCCGGGCCUUGUACACACCGCCCGUCACACCAUGAGAGUUUGUAACACCCAAAGUCGGUGGGGUAACCUUUUAGGAACCAGCCGCCUAAGGUGGGACAGAUGAUUAGGGUGAA
rnacentral:rRNA from 2 species